AGAGUUUGAUCCUGGCUCAGAUUGAACGCUGGCGGCAGGCCUAACACAUGCAAGUCGAGCGGUAGCACAGAGAGCUUGCUCUCGGGUGACGAGCGGCGGACGGGUGAGUAAUGUCUGGGAAACUGCCUGAUGGAGGGGGAUAACUACUGGAAACGGUAGCUAAUACCGCAUAACGUCGCAAGACCAAAGUGGGGGACCUUCGGGCCUCAUGCCAUCAGAUGUGCCCAGAUGGGAUUAGCUAGUAGGUGGGGUAAUGGCUCACCUAGGCGACGAUCCCUAGCUGGUCUGAGAGGAUGACCAGCCACACUGGAACUGAGACACGGUCCAGACUCCUACGGGAGGCAGCAGUGGGGAAUAUUGCACAAUGGGCGCAAGCCUGAUGCAGCCAUGCCGCGUGUAUGAAGAAGGCCUUCGGGUUGUAAAGUACUUUCAGCGAGGAGGAAGGCGUUAAGGUUAAUAACCUUGGCGAUUGACGUUACUCGCAGAAGAAGCACCGGCUAACUCCGUGCCAGCAGCCGCGGUAAUACGGAGGUGCAAGCGUUAAUCGGAAUUACUGGGCGUAAAGCGCACGCAGGCGGUUUGUUAAGUCAGAUGUGAAAUCCCCGGGCUCAACCUGGGAACUGCAUUUGAAACUGGCAAGCUUGAGUCUUGUAGAGGGGGGUAGAAUUCCAGGUGUAGCGGUGAAAUGCGUAGAGAUCUGGAGGAAUACCGGUGGCGAAGGCGGCCCCCUGGACAAAGACUGACGCUCAGGUGCGAAAGCGUGGGGAGCAAACAGGAUUAGAUACCCUGGUAGUCCACGCUGUAAACGAUGUCGACUUGGAGGUUGUUCCCUUGAGGAGUGGCUUCCGGAGCUAACGCGUUAAGUCGACCGCCUGGGGAGUACGGCCGCAAGGUUAAAACUCAAAUGAAUUGACGGGGGCCCGCACAAGCGGUGGAGCAUGUGGUUUAAUUCGAUGCAACGCGAAGAACCUUACCUACUCUUGACAUCCAGAGAACUUAGCAGAGAUGCUUUGGUGCCUUCGGGAACUCUGAGACAGGUGCUGCAUGGCUGUCGUCAGCUCGUGUUGUGAAAUGUUGGGUUAAGUCCCGCAACGAGCGCAACCCUUAUCCUUUGUUGCCAGCGAUUCGGUCGGGAACUCAAAGGAGACUGCCAGUGAUAAACUGGAGGAAGGUGGGGAUGACGUCAAGUCAUCAUGGCCCUUACGAGUAGGGCUACACACGUGCUACAAUGGCAUAUACAAAGAGAAGCGACCUCGCGAGAGCAAGCGGACCUCAUAAAGUAUGUCGUAGUCCGGAUUGGAGUCUGCAACUCGACUCCAUGAAGUCGGAAUCGCUAGUAAUCGUAGAUCAGAAUGCUACGGUGAAUACGUUCCCGGGCCUUGUACACACCGCCCGUCACACCAUGGGAGUGGGUUGCAAAAGAAGUAGGUAGCUUAACCUUCGGGAGGGCGCUUACCACUUUGUGAUUCAUGACUGGGGUGAAGUCGUAACAAGGUAACCGUAGGGGAACCUGCGGCUGGAUCACCUCCUU
rnacentral:rRNA from 1 species